ensembl:misc_RNA Metazoa_SRP Metazoan signal recognition particle RNA
GCUGGGCAUGGUGAUGCAUGCCUGUAGUCCCAGCUCUCAGGAGGCUAAGGUGGGAGCAUCACCUGAGCCCAGGAGAUCAAGGCUGCAGUGAGUUGUGAUCAUGCCACUGCACUCUAGCCUGGGCAACAGAGUGAGAUUCUGUCUCAG